CGUAGGGGGCAAGCGUUGUCCGGAAUCAUUGGGCGUAAAGCGCGUGUAGGCGGUUCGGUAAGUCGGCUGUGAAAGUCCAGGGCUCAACCCUGGGAUGCCGGUCGAUACUGCCGGACUAGAGUUCGGAAGAGGCGAGUGGAAUUCCCGGUGUAGCGGUGAAAUGCGCAGAUAUCGGGAGGAACACCAAUGGCGAAGGCAGCUCGCUGGGACGUUACUGACGCUGAGACGCGAAAGCGUGGGGAGCAAACAGGAUUAGAUACCCUGGUAGUCCACGCCGUAAACGAUGGGCACUAGGUGUGGGAGGUGUCGACUCCUCCCGUGCCGGAGCUAACGCAUUAAGUGCCCCGCCUGGGGAGUACGGCCGCAAGGCUA
rnacentral:rRNA from 1 species